GACGAACGCUGGCGGCGUGCUUAACACAUGCAAGUCGAACGGAAAGGCCCUGCUUUUGUGGGGUGCUCGAGUGGCGAACGGGUGAGUAACACGUGAGUAACCUGCCCUUGACUUUGGGAUAACUUCAGGAAACUGGGGCUAAUACCGGAUAGGAGCUCCUGCUGCAUGGUGGGGGUUGGAAAGUUUCGGCGGUUGGGGAUGGACUCGCGGCUUAUCAGCUUGUUGGUGGGGUGGUGGCUUACCAAGGCUUUGACGGGUAGCUGGCCUGAGAGGGUGACCGGCCACAUUGGGACUGAGAAACGGCCCAGACUCCUACGGGAGGCAGCAGUGGGGAAUAUUGCACAAUGGGCGGAAGCCUGAUGCAGCAACGCCGCGUGCGGGAUGACGGCCUUCGGGUUGUAAACCGCUUUCGCCUGUGACGAAGCGUGAGUGACGGUAAUGGGUAAAGAAGCACCGGCUAACUACGUG
rnacentral:rRNA from 1 species